rnacentral:rRNA from 1 species
GACGAACGCUGGCGGCGUGCUUAACACAUGCAAGUCGAACGGAAAGGCCCUGCUUUUGUGGGGUGCUCGAGUGGCGAACGGGUGAGUAACACGUGAGUAACCUGGCCUUGACUUUGGGAUAACUUCAGGAAACUGGGGCUAAUACCGGAUAGGAGAUCCUGCUGCAUGGUGGGGGGUGGAAAGUUUCGGGGGUUGGGGAUGGACUCGCGGCUUAUCAGCUUGUUGGUGGGGUAGUGGCUUACCAAGGAUUUGACGGGUAGCCGGCCUGAGAGGGUGACCGGCCACAUUGGGACUGAGAUACGGCCCAGACUCCUACGGGAGGCAGCAGUGGGGAAUAUUGCACAAUGGGCGGAAGCCUGAUGCAGCAACGCCGCGUGCGGGAUGACGGCCUUCGGGUUGUAAACCGCUUUCGCCUGUGACGAAGCGUGAGUGACGGUAAUGGGUAAAGAAGCACCGGCUAACUACGUG